AAAUACAUCACUUAAAAAACAAAAAAAUAUAAUAAUAUAAUAAAAUGUUACUUAAAUUAAAUAAAAAAAUGAAGCUUAUGUUAAUGUAUCAGUAUUAGUAGUGUGUAAUCAGAAUCUUCUUCUUCUGUGUUUUCUUUCACGUCAAUCUUAUUUUUGAGUGAAGAAGAAGAAAUUGUAAAGUGAUUUUGAGUUCCCCAAAAGCCUCACUGUUUAAUAAUGUUCCCGUGACUUUCUCUCACUUGUUUUUUUUUUAAUCUCAAUUUCAGCCUCAAAAAUCAAAACUUUAUUUAUUUUUUCAUUUUCCAACCAAAUCUACUCUUAAUUUGUUUCAUCUUCAUUUUUCUCACUGACCCAGAUCUCUCUCUUACACAAUACUUCAUUGCUUGUUCCAUUGCUGCUGCAAAGGUUGUUUUUUUUUCUUCAUAUGAACCUCUUGUUACAUUGUUUUAUUGUUUUGGAUCCUUUGUUCUAGAACAUGUUUUGUUCCUUGUUUUUUACUGGAAAUGUAAAAAGCUUGUUACUUUAGUUAAUCUUGUACUUGUUUGUUUAAUGUUGAAGCAUUUUUAGUUUCUGGGUCUGUUUCUGUCUUUGUCCUUCAUAAUUGUUGUUGAUAAAAUUCAUGACUUUAUUCACAAAAAUUGUAAUUCUGUUAUUUUGUUGGUUUAUUUUUUUGUUUGUUUGUUUCUAUCAUGUUCAGUUUUUUGAUAUGAUUUUGAAUUAAGACUAGAAUUGUGUUUUAUUUGAGUCAACAUAGCUCAAAUUAUGUGUGGUAUUGUUUUUACUUAUGUUUUAGUUUUUGAUUACGCAGUAUUGGAGCUUGAAGAAGAGCAAGUUUNNNN
rnacentral:lncRNA from 1 species